UGAGCUGAGUCGAGGCGAAGCCGAGGAUUAUGAUGCCGGAGAGCUUUGAGUGCUCGCCGGAACCCGAAUGCUCGCCGCCGUGGACCAAAGUCUCUGACUAGAGGAAUCGCUACGAUCAGGUAUGUGCGUCCUCCCAUUCGCGGAGGAGAGAGAGAGUUGAGGAGGACCGAGAGACUCUGGUUGAGAUAUGAGAGCUCUGAUGUUCAUUCAUGCACCUUUAGUGGUCUGCAGUUUCCAUGCACAAUACACGAAGACUGAAG
rnacentral:lncRNA from 1 species